GGCCAUAUAGACUUGCAUGCACCCCCUGUCCCGCACCAGGGCCUUCCAUGGGGGCUGCACUGAUUCCUAAUUGGUCAACCUUCAGUCCCUUAGCUUUGGAUGGGAACGUGCUUUUACUCUUUAUACAACUGAAACUGAAUGCAGUGCCGACUCAGCAGAAUGAGGGCUGUCCUCUCACAAAGCCGUACACCACAGCAUUGAAGCACACCAGCCAGUUAAUGCUUUAAAAUUACAAAAUCAAGCAGUGAUUUCUUUGUUCAACAUUGAUAGUGCAGUAGUAGUAGUAAUAAAUACUACUACUACUACUACUACUACUACUAUUACUACUACUACUACUACUAAUAAUAAUAUGGAGAAGAUGAAGAUGAAUUGCUUUGUACAUCAUGAAUAGAUGGGACGCUAAAGAAAAAUAGCAACAGCAAGAAGGAAAACUGGAAAUUAAAAACAAAGAAAGAAAAUGAAAUAAGCAGGCAUGCACAUUCGAGCCAGCAAUGAAGAUGGAAGUUGGUAGGAUCUGAGAUGGGGCUGAAUUGUUAACUCAUCUAAAACACUUGGAGGAUGGUGCUCUCGUGCCCGCAUGCUGCAAGCGCAAUACAUUAGCGCUGCACAGGCCAAUGAGCUGUGAUAUCGCGAGACUUGGUUGCCUUGGCUGCAGCACGGAGUGACGCUGGUGGAGGGGGUUUAACGGCUGAGAUUCUACACGAGUACCUUCGGAUGGGGGGACAAGGUUGCAGCGGGGCUUGAAAUAAGGCCAGGGAGCUGCUCUUGAUUUGCGGGCGAGUGAUUCCACCGAGGCCAGCUGAUGCAAGCUCUCCCUAUCUAUCCCGCCCUCUUCGCUGUCUGAGUUUCGGAGGUCCGACAUUGUUUCGAACUGCAGGUUUGCUGAAGUUUGAAGGAAGACGCCUCCAGUACAGCGGGAGCUCUGCCAGGGGAGGGGCAGGGCGCGGGAC